rnacentral:rRNA from 1 species
GAUGAACGCUGGCGGCGUGCCUAAUACAUGCAAGUCGAACGCGCAGCGAAAGGUGCUUGCACCUUUCGAGCGAGUGGCGAACGGGUGAGUAACACGUGGAUAACCUGCCUCAAGGCUGGGGAUAACAUUUGGAAACAGAUGCUAAUACCGAAUAAAACUUAGUAUCGCAUGAUACAAAGUUAAACGGCGCUACGGCGUCACCUAGAGAUGGAUCCGCGGUGCAUUAGUUAGUUGGUGGGGUAAAGGCUUACCAAGACGAUGAUGCAUAGCCGAGUUUAGAGACUGAUCGGCCACAUUGGGACUGAGACACGGCCCAAACUCCUACGGGAGGCUGCAGUAGGGAAUCUUCCACAAUGGGCGCAAGCCUGAUGGAGCAACGCCGCGUGUGUGAUGAAGGCUUUCGGGUCGUAAAGCACUGUUGUAUGGGAAGAAAUGCUAAAAUAGGGAAUGAUUUUAGUUUGACGGUACCAUACCAGAAAGGGACGGCUAAAUACGUGCCAGCCGCCGCCGUAAGAC